AGAUCGAUCCCCAUUGUCCCAAUUCCAACACCAUAAUUCUAGCCAAAAAAAGAAAAAAGCAAUGGGCAAAACCCUCUUCUAUUUUGCACCCAACAACAGAAGAACGAAGAAAAACCAAAACUCCGCAGAAAGGAAAUAUCUUCGAGGAAGAAGGAAAGAUAAUGGUAAGGCAAAGGAGGUGGAAGUAGUGAGUGGGCUAAACUGGGGCACGUACAUGGGGAGAUGGUACAAGAUCACCUCCUUCCCCUCCUCGUUCCAGCCCUGUAAUGGCAUUGACACUCGGUCCACUCACACCCUCACAAGGGACUGUCUACGUUUUCAUUGAGUGCUGGGGCGACGGAAAGAGGAGACUCCAUCCCGCCUACAAGGCCGGCACUAACAGCGACGCGGCGAAGGCGAAGGCGAGGUUCGACAUCCCACCGAUCCUGCCUAUCUUCCUCGUCACCGGCGUACUCGGUCCUUUACAUCGAUGACGACUACUAGUACCCUCUUAUCGGCCAGCCCAACAAGAAGUAUCCGUGAUUCAUCUGAUAGUCUGCUCUGUAGCUUUCGCUUCUUCCCCUGCUGACUGACCCCGCCCCCUGGAGCUUCAUUCUGCCCCGUUGCGCAAAUUAAUCAGGAAAGAUUCGAUUGUAAGCUCUAGCGGCAUCAUGACCCAAAUAGCUGUUAUACAAACAGGACCCUAGCAAUCCAUUUUCAUACAGAAGACAACAGCUUAUCCAAUUUUCUCAUUCUAGACAAACAGCAUUUUUUUUUGGAGUGUGUAGCAAGAGACCUUUUAAUAAGCAUUUGGAGGGUGGCUUUUGCAGCAGUUUUAGCAGGAGUCGUGUUUUUUGCUUCAGUAGGUCAUUUUUGUUGCUUGUCCUGCGAAAGAUAAACAAUAAAUAAAGAAAAAGAUGAAGGCUAAUCGACUGUUUUUCUUACGAGGGAAUCGUGACAACUUCAAAUAGUAAAAUCCAUGGAGAUAUAUACAUUUGCACAUAUAACACCAAAUCUGUUUUUGGCUAUUGCUACAUCCACGGGGUUGUGGAAAGAUGGACUUUAGACCUUUUCUAAUCGGCUUGAACCCUACUGUUCAGUUUCUUUUUCCAUGUAAAACAAAAAUUAGAUUAUCAAGCAGGACAGGAGCGGCCUCAGAAAUGUAAUUCAAUUCUUGGAAAUAUAAGAGGCAUUUCAUGCUCGA